rnacentral:rRNA from 1 species
UAACAGAGGUCUCAAGCGUUGUUUCGGAUUCAUUUGGGCGUAAAGGGCGCGUAGGCUGCGGGGCAAGUCGGGUGUGAAAUCUCAGGGCUCAACCCUGAAACUGCACUCGAUACUGCUCUGCUUGAGGACUGGAGAGGAGACUGGAAUUCACGGUGUAGCAGUGAAAUGCGUAGAUAUCGUGAGGAAGACCAGUGGCGAAGGCGGGUCUCUGGACA